CUUUAUUGGAGAUAGCAUUGAGUCUUGGGGUGCUUGUCACCCUUGUAACAGUUCUAUCACUAUGUGUAUGUGGAUGCAAAAACUCCAACCAGAAAGCAUCGACCCAAAACAGUCAACGCAGCCUGCCCGAAAUCCCGCAUCCUGUAGGCAGGCAUGACAGCGGGGAUACGGCAUCGGAGAUUUACGCGACCGUCAAUUUAGAUGAAGG